UACGGAAGGCAGCAGUGGGGAAUAUUGCACAAUGGGCGCAAGCCUGAUGCAGCCAUGCCGCGUGUAUGAAGAAGGCCUUCGGGUUGUAAAGUACUUUCAGUCGUGAGGAAGGUGUUAAGGUUAAUAACCUUAGCAAUUGACGUUAGCGACAGAAGAAGCACCGGCUAACUCCGUGCCAGCAGCCGCGGUAAUACGGAGGGUGCGAGCGUUAAUCGGAAUUACUGGGCGUAAAGGGCACGCAGGUGGUUAAUUAAGUUGGAUGUGAAAUCCCCGGGCUUAACCUGGGAAUGGCAUUCAAGACUGGUUAGCUAGAGUCUUGUAGAGGGGGUAGAAUUCCAUGUGUAGCGGUGAAAUGCGUAGAGAUGUGGAGGAAUACCGGUGGCGAAGGCGGCCCCUGGACAAAGACUGACGCUCAUGUGCGAAAGCGUGGGGAGCGAAACAGGGAUUAGAUACC
rnacentral:rRNA from 1 species